UCUGCUUUAGUCCAAAAUGUAGUAAACAUUUUCAUCGGCUAUAUCACAAUACAAGAGACUGCACCAUCCCAGCAUACUAUAAAAGAUGUGCCAGGCUUCUUACUCGGUUGGCAGUAAGUCCAAUGUGCAUGGAAGGAUAAGAUGUUAUUACCAUAAA